rnacentral:sRNA from 1 species
GAAUCUUUCAAAAACAAAAUGAACACAAAUAAAAGGAAGGCUGAUAACCAUCAUUUUACUCCUUACUUCCAUUUUCUUCUACCUCAGUUUAAAAGAUGUGAUAAUAUGUGGUCAAGUUAGUCAUGCCUGGAUGUUGAUGACACAACUAAACUCACUGUGGAAUGCUAUUGAUUUUUCCACAGUGAAAAAUGUGAUUCCAGAUAAAUAUAUAGUGUCUACUUUGCAAAGAUGGCGUUUAAAUGUGCUGCGUUUGAAUUUUCGUGGUUGUCUUCUCCGACCCAAAACUUUCAGAUCUGUCAGAUGAAUCAAUGAGACACAUUUCUGAGGGCUGCCCGGGGGUCCUGUAUCUCAAUCUGUCUAACACAACUAUCACCAACAGGACGAUGCGACUCCUGCCGAGGCACUUCCACAACUUACAGAAUCUUAGUUUGGCUUAUUGCAGACGGUUCACAGACAAAGGCUUACAGUACCUGAACUUGGGGAAUGGAUGCCACAAGCUCAUCUAUCUGGACCUCUCCGGCUGCACCCAGAUUUCAGUCCAAGGCUUCAGGUACAUUGCAAACAGCUGCACUGGAGUUAUGCAUCUUACCAUUAAUGACAUGCCAACUCUGACGGACAACUGUGUAAAAGCUUUAGUUGAAAAAUGCUCUCGUAUUACAUCGCUGGUUUUCACUGGUGCACCGCAUAUCACCGAUUGUACUUUCAAAGCUCUUUCUACUUGUAAACUCAGAAAGAUCCGAUUU